AACUCCAAGAGUGUAUCUUAAUGUUGCUGCAGUUAAAAAGCUCGUAGUUGAAUUUCUGGCCGUCAGGCCCGGGUUUCCUGGGCUCGGCGGUCAUCCGCUGAGAGAAUCAGUACCUCCUUCACUGGUGGUAUUGAAGACCCAGCAUUUUACUUUGAAGAAAUUAGAGUGUUCAUGGCAGGCUUUGCUUGCAUAUAUUAGCAUGGAAUAAUGGAAUAAGACGUUGUCUGUUUUUAUUGGUUAAGCAGAUGCGUAAUGAUUAACAGGGACAGUCGGGGGCAUUCGUACUCAGUGGCUAGAGGUGAAAUUCUUAGAUUCGCUGAAGACGAACUAAUGCGAAAGCAUUUGCCAAGGAUGUUUUCA
rnacentral:rRNA from 1 species